rnacentral:rRNA from 1 species
AAACUCAAAGGAAUUGACGGGACCCGCACAAGCGGUGGAUGAUGUGGUUUAAUUCGAUGCAACGCGAAAACCUUACCCACCUUUGACAUGUACGGAAGUUGCCAGAGAUGGCUUCGUGCUCGAAAGAGAGCCGUAACACAGGUGCUGCAUGGCUGUCGUCAGCUCGUGUCGUGAGAUGUUGGGUUAAGUCCCGCAACGAGCGCAACCCUUGUCAUUAGUUGCUACGAAAGGGCACUCUAAUGAGACUGCCGGUGACAAACCGGAGGAAGGUGGGGAUGACGUCAAGUCCUCAUGGCCCUUAUAGGUGGGGCUACACACGUCAUACAAUGGCUGGUACAAAGGGUUGCCAACCCGCGAGGGGGAGCCAAUCCCAUAAAGCCAGUCGUAGUCCGGAUCGCAGUCUGCAACUCGACUGCGUGAAGUCGGAAUCGCUAGUAAUCGUGGAUCAGCAUGUCACGGUGAAUACGUUCCCGGGUCUU